rnacentral:lncRNA from 1 species
UUUAAGGUAUCCGACCCAUAAUAAAGAUUUACGGAAAGUUUUCCGGAGUUUACCGAGGUGUCAAUUUUUUCAACACCUCGGUAUUUUCCGCCUAGUAAGCGAAAGUAUAGUUAUUAUUUUUAAAAUGACGAUUAAAAUAUCAGAAAGGCUUAAUUGAAGUAUAUUUUCAUUAACUAUAGAGUAAACGCUCAUUUUUUCGAAAAAUUGUCCAAUUUUGACAAUCCGGAAACAGAAGUUAUGGUAAACAAAUAUGGACGACCCGGUCGGCUGCCAAGACAGACGAAGGCGUUUUACCAAAAAAAGUACGCCGAUUUAAGUCUCUUCGUCUUAUCGUGAUGCAGAAAUAAUGUGUGCAGUUUGGAUGCAACUGGUUGUCAAAUAUGUUGUACCGGCAUAGGAAGAUUAGUUGAUAGAAGGAAUGUAAACACAUCACGCACUUGUCCUUUUCAUCUGGCGAUCUGCUCUGGGAGACGAUUUGAAUGGAUCGUUCAUUUUUAUGUUUUAAAGUUCUGUAUUCAUAUGUUAAGUGUAUAUCUGGAUGGAAUUGAACCGACUUCCUUAUGGUUCCUAUUACAUGGAGAACCUAGUAAACCAAAGGCCAAGCUGAUGCCAAGCUUCAGUGUAAAACUUUGAGCAGGUGCCAGGUAAUUUGCAUUUACAAAUCCAAACAUUUUAAAACUUGAGUUGGACAACAUUGUCAUGUUAAUUAUGCCCCACUACACCAGCUUGUCUGGCAAAACAGCCGUUAGAUGUCAUAGUAAUCUAAACUAGAUACAUGUAUGAAAAAAAUGAUUAUUUAAAAAAUAAUCCAGGUCUGUCAGUUUAUAUGUUUGUAAUAAUUUAGGAACAAACACCCAAGUCAAGGCAAAAAACAAAUACAAACAUAUUGAUAACAAUUGCAAGAAAGCAUUAAACAAAAGUGCAGUAGAACUAAAUAGGAAAACAUGCAUGCUAUCAGAC